GCCCUAGUAACGGCGAGUGAAGCGGCAACAGCUCAAAUUUGAAAUCUGGCCCUUGGGUCCGAAUUGUAAUUUGUAGAGGAUGAUUUUGGUGCGGUACCUUCCGAGUUCCUUGGAACAGGACGCCUUAGAGGGUGAGAGCCCCGUACGGUAGGAUACCUAGCCUCUGUAAAUCUCCUUCGACGAGUCGAGUAGUUUGGGAAUGCUGCUCUAAAUGGGAGGUAAAUUUCUUCUAAAGCUAAAUACCGGCCAGAGACCGAUAGCGCACAAGUAGAGUGAUCGAAAGAUGAAAAGCACUUUGAAAAGAGGGUUAAAUAGCACGUGAAAUUGUUGAAAGGGAAGGAUUUAUGACCAGACUUUUUCUGGGCAGAUCAUCCGGUGUUCUCACCGGUGCACUUUGCCCAGUUUAGGCCAGCAUCGAUUUCCGGAGGGGGAUAAAAGCUUUGGGAAUGUGGCUCCCUCGGGAGUGUUAUAGCCCAUUGUAUAAUACCUUUCUGGGGAUCGAGGUACGCGCUUCUGCAAGGAUGCUGGCGUAAUGGUUAUCAAUCACCCGUCUUGAAACACGGACCAAGGAGUCGAACAUUUGUGCGAGUGUUUGGGUGUUAAACCCUCACGCGUAAUGAAAGUGAACGGAGGUAAGAGCCCUUACGGGUGCAUUAUCGACCGAUCCUGAAGUUUUCGGAUGGAUUUGAGUAGGAGCAUAAAUGUUCGGACCCGAAAGAUGGUGAACUAUGCGUGGAUAGGGUGAAGCCAGAGGAAACUCUGGUGGAGGCUCGCAGCGGUUCUGACGUGCAAAUCGAUCGUCAAAUCUGCGCAUGGGGGCGAAAGACUAAUCGAACCAUCUAGUAGCUGGUUACCGCCGAAG
rnacentral:rRNA from 1 species